rnacentral:lncRNA from 1 species
ACGGAUGAAGAUUACAUGAUAAUGCUUUCUUCACCCUAUAUAAAAUGGUAAGCAAUGAGGGACUAGGUAAGUGUAGCUAAUUAUAAGCUUUUGGCUCUCUAGUAUUCUCUUUCUCCGGUUGAUUUAGGCAUCGGAGGAUCUCUUAUCGGACAACUUUCAGUAAGAGGACUUCAUUUUGUAGGUUUCUUGCUGUUCCGCAUUCGCGCACUACGGCUCGGCUCGCCACCAACCAUCUCACU